UACGUAGGGGGCGAGCGUUGUCCGGAUUUAUUGGGCGUAAAGGGCGUGUAGGCGGUCUGGUAAGUCAGGGGUGAAAACCCGGAGCUCAACUCCGGGCCUGCCUCUGAAACUGCUGGACUUGAGUGCUCUAGAGGGCAGUGGAAUGGCCGGUGUAGCAGUGAAAUGCGUAGAGAUCGGUCGGAACACCAGUGGCGAAGGCGACUGCCUGGGGAGUAACUGACGCUGAGGCGCGAAAGCUGGGGGAGCAAACGGG
rnacentral:rRNA from 1 species